rnacentral:rRNA from 1 species
UACAGAGGUGGCAAGCGUUGUUCGGAAUUACUGGGCGUAAAGGGCGAGUAGGUGGCCAUCUAAGUCAGACGUGAAAUCCCCCGGCUUAACCUGGGAACUGCGUCUGAUACUGGACGGCUUGAGUAUGGGAGAGGGAUGUAGAAUUCCAGGUGUAGCGGUGAAAUGCGUAGAUAUCUGGAGGAAUACCGGUGGCGAAGGCGGCAUCCUGGACCGGUAUUGACGCUGAGGCGCGAAAGCCAGGGGAGCAAACGGG